rnacentral:rRNA from 1 species
CUAAGAAUAUUCCGCAAUGGACGGAAGUCUGACGGAGCGACACCGCGUGGAUGACGAAGGCCGAAAGGUUGUAAAGUUCUUUUGCUGGGGAAGAAUAACCGCAGGAGGGAAUGCCUGUGGGAUGACAAGAACCGGCGAAUAAGCCCCGGCCAACUACGUGCCAGCAGCCGCGGUAACACGUAGGGGGCGAGCGUUGUUCGGAAUUACUGGGCGUAAAGGGCAUGUAGGCGGCUUGGAAAGCCUGGCGUGAAAGUCUGCAGCUUAACUGCAGGGGUGCGCUGGGAACUGCUGAGCUUGAGUGACGGAGAGGGAGCUGGAAUUCCUGGUGUAGGGGUGAAAUCUGUAGAUAUCAGGAAGAACACCGAUGGCGAAGGCAAGCUCCUGGCCGAUGACUGACGCUGAGGUGCGAAAGUGUGGGGAUCAAACAGGAUUAGAUACCCAGGUAGUCCACACAGUCAACGAUGUGCACUAGGUGCUGGGGCGGUAGCUUCGGUGCCGGAGCGAACGUGGUAAGUGCACCGCCUGGGGAGUAUGCUCGCAAGGGUGAAACUCAAUGAAUUGACGGGGGUCAUAGCUG